rnacentral:rRNA from 1 species
UACGUAGGGUGCGAGCGUUGUCCGGAAUUAUUGGGCGUAAAGAGCUCGUAGGCGGUGUGUCACGUCGGCCGUGAAAACCUGCAGCUUAACUGUGGGCGUGCGGUCGAUACGGGCAUCACUGGAGUUCGGCAGGGGAGGACUGGAAUUCCUGGUGUAGCGGUGAAAUGCGCAGAUAUCAGGAGGAACACCGGUGGCGAAGGCGGGUCUCUGGGCCGUUACUGACGCUGAGGAGCGAAAGCGUGGGGAGCGAACAGG